UCCUACGGGAGGCAGCAGUGAGGAAUAUUGGUCAAUGGUCGGGAGACUGAACCAGCCAAGCCGCGUGAGGGAUGAAGGUACAGAGUAUCGUAAACCUCUUUUGUCAGGGAACAAAGGCGGGGACGUGUCCCCGGAUGAGUGUACCUGAAGAAAAAGCAUCGGCUAACUCCGUGCCAGCAGCCGCGGUAAUACGGAGGAUGCGAGCGUUAUCCGGAUUUACUGGGUGUAAAGGGUGCGUAGGCGGCUUGGCAAGUCAGUAGUGAAAUCCAUGGGCUUAACCCAUGAACUGCUAUUGAAACUGUCGA
rnacentral:rRNA from 1 species